CAACCGUAAAAUUGCAGUUGAUACUGGAUAUCUUGAGUGCAGUUGAGGCAGGCGGAAUUCGUGGUGUAGCGGUGAAAUGCUUAGAUAUCACGAAGAACUCCGAUUGCGAAGGCAGCCUGCUAAGCUGCAACUGACAUUGAGGCUCGAAAGUGUGGGUAUCAAACAGGAUUAGAUACCCUGGUAGUCCACACGGUAAACGAUGAAUACUCGCUGUUUGCGAUAUACUGCAAGCGGCCAAGCGAAAGCGUUAAGUAUUCCACCUGGGGAGUACGCCGGCAACGGUGAAACUCAAAGGAAUUGACGGGGGCCCGCACAAGCGGAGGAACAUGUGGUUUAAUUCGAUGAUACGCGAGGAACCUUACCCGGGCUUAAAUUGCAGAUGAAUUACGGUGAAAGCCGUAAGCCGCAAGGCAUCUGUGAAGGUGCUGCAUGGUUGUCGUCAGCUCGUGCCGUGAGGUGUCGGCUUAAGUGCCAUAACGAGCGCAACCCUUGUUGUCAGUUACUAACAGGUUUUGCUGAGGACUCUGACAAGACUGCCAUCGUAAGAUGUGAGGAAGGUGGGGAUGACGUCAAAUCAGCACGGCCCUUACGUCCGGGGCUACACACGUGUUACAAUGGGGGGUACAGAGGGCCGCUACCACGCGAGUGGAUGCCAAUCCCCAAAACCUCUCUCAGUUCGGACUGGAGUCUGCAACCCGACUCCACGAAGCUGGAUUCGCUAGUAAUCGCGCAUCAGCCACGGCGCGGUGAAUACGUUCCCGGGCCUUGUACACACCGCCCGUCAAGCCAUGGGAGCCGGGGGUACCUGAAGUGCGUAACCGCGAGGAGCGCCCUAGGGUAAAACUGGUGACUGGGG
rnacentral:rRNA from 1 species